AUCUUUUUUUUACUUUUCAUUUGAUGGUUUUGGUUACCAAUGGAAAAAACAAUCAUGCCUCUUUUUAUCCUACAAAAGCGGACUGAACCUCCACUCGGUAGUCAUUUCUUUUUCCCAAAUCUCUUUCGAGCAAUUACGAAACCACUGGCGUUUUCCGACCCCAUCCCGUGCUCAACCUCUCUCACGAACUACCUCCUAAACCCGCAAGUUUCAUUGGAGCGCAAGAGGAGCCGGAGAAAGAUACACAUAGCCGGAAAAACCAUACGUCGCCGGAGACCGAAUCGGAGCCUUGCUGGAACUCGAAGACGAUGUCGGAACCUGCCGGAGGACCCGACGCGCUGGAGAUCGAGUAGUCAAGCCGGAACUGCGGAUCUUCGUUUCGGGUGAGCUCGGUGUUCCGUCCUCCUAAACUCGUACCCUCGUCAAUGCUUGGAUAAUCGGAAGACUUAGAAAUUAUGUUAAUUGUUGAAGUAUGGACAUGAUGAAACGAGAUUUAGGGUGGACUAGAUACACACCUAGAUUAAUCUAUCUUUUGUCGUUAUGUUACAAUUUGAAACAAUGUUGUUAUUUCUAUUUGAAUCUUGUAUGAAAAUUUAGUAUUGAAAUGAAAUUUGAAU